UUAAGCGACUAAGCGUACACGGUGGAUGCCCUGGCAGUCAGAGGCGAUGAAGGACGUGCUAAUCUGCGAAAAGCGUCGGUAAGGUGAUAUGAACCGUUAUAGCCGGCGAUGUCCGAAUGGGGAAACCCAGUGCAAUUCGUUGCACUAUCGUUAACUGAAUACAUAGGUUAACGAGGCGAACCGGGGGAACUGAAACAUCUAAGUACCCCGAGGAAAAGAAAUCAACCGAGAUUCCCCCAGUAGCGGCGAGCGAACGGGGAGCAGCCCAGAGUCUGAAUCAGCUUGUGUGUUAGUGGAACGGUCUGGAAAGUCCGACGGUACAGGGUGAUAGUCCCGUACACCAAAAUGCACAGGCUGUGAACUCGAAGAGUAGGGCGGGACACGUGGUAUCCUGUCUGAAUAUGGGGGGACCAUCCUCCAAGGCUAAAUACUCCUGACUGACCGAUAGUGAACCAGUACCGUGAGGGAAAGGCGAAAAGAACCCCGGCGAGGGGAGUGAAAAAGAACCUGAAACCGUGUACGUACAAGCAGUGGGAGCACCUUCGGGUGUGACUGCGUACCUUUUGUAUAAUGGGUCAGCGACUUAUAUUCUGUAGCAAGGUUAACCGUAUAGGGGAGCCGCAGGGAAACCGAGUCUUAACUGGGCGUUAAGUUGCAGGGUAUAGACCCGAAACCCGGUGAUCUAGCCAUGGGCAGGUUGAAGGUUGGGUAACACUAACUGGAGGACCGAACCGACUAAUGUUGAAAAAUUAGCGGAUGACUUGUGGCUGGGGGUGAAAGGCCAAUCAAACCGGGAGAUAGCUGGUUCUCCCCGAAAGCUAUUUAGGUAGCGCCUCGUGAAUUCAUCUUCGGGGGUAGAGCACUGUUUCGGCUAGGGGGUCAUCCCGACUUACCAACCCGAUGCAAACUACGAAUACCGAAGAAUGUUAUCACGGGAGACACACGGCGGGUGCUAACGUCCGUCGUGAAGAGGGAAACAACCCAGACCGCCAGCUAAGGUCCCAAAGUCAUGGUUAAGUGGGAAACGAUGUGGGAAGGCACAGACAGCCAGGAUGUUGGCUUAGAAGCAGCCAUCAUUUAAAGAAAGCGUAAUAGCUCACUGGUCGAGUCGGCCUGCGCGGAAGAUGUAACGGGGCUAAACCAUGCACCGAAGCUGCGGCAGCGACACUAUGUGUUGUUGGGUAGGGGAGCGUUCUGUAAGCCUGCGAAGGUGACCUGUGAGGGUUGCUGGAGGUAUCAGAAGUGCGAAUGCUGACAUAAGUAACGAUAAAGCGGGUGAAAAGCCCGCUCGCCGGAAGACCAAGGGUUCCUGUCCAACGUUAAUCGGGGCAGGGUGAGUCGACCCCUAAGGCGAGGCCGAAAGGCGUAGUCGAUGGGAAACAGGUUAAUAUUCCUGUACUUGGUGUUACUGCGAAGGGGGGACGGAGAAGGCUAUGUUAGCCGGGCGACGGUUGUCCCGGUUUAAGCAUGUAGGCUGGUUGUCCAGGCAAAUCCGGAUAAUCAAGGCUGAGGUGUGAUGACGAGGCACUACGGUGCUGAAGUAACAAAUGCCCUGCUUCCAGGAAAAGCCUCUAAGCAUCAGGUAACAUCAAAUCGUACCCCAAACCGACACAGGUGGUCAGGUAGAGAAUACCAAGGCGCUUGAGAGAACUCGGGUGAAGGAACUAGGCAAAAUGGUGCCGUAACUUCGGGAGAAGGCACGCUGGUGUGUAGGUGAAGCCCCUGCGGGUGGAGCUGAGACCAGUCGAAGAUACCAGCUGGCUGCAACUGUUUAUUAAAAACACAGCACUGUGCAAACACGAAAGUGGACGUAUACGGUGUGACGCCUGCCCGGUGCCGGAAGGUUAAUUGAUGGGGUUAUCCGUAAGGAGAAGCUCUUGAUCGAAGCCCCGGUAAACGGCGGCCGUAACUAUAACGGUCCUAAGGUAGCGAAAUUCCUUGUCGGGUAAGUUCCGACCUGCACGAAUGGCGUAAUGAUGGCCAGGCUGUCUCCACCCGAGACUCAGUGAAAUUGAACUCGCUGUGAAGAUGCAGUGUACCCGCGGCAAGACGGAAAGACCCCGUGAACCUUUACUAUAGCUUGACACUGAACAUUGAGCCUUGAUGUGUAGGAUAGGUGGGAGGCUUUGAAGCGUGGACGCCAGUCUGCGUGGAGCCAACCUUGAAAUACCACCCUUUAAUGUUUGAUGUUCUAACGUUGGCCCCUUACCGGGGUUGCGGACAGUGUCUGGUGGGUAGUUUGACUGGGGCGGUCUCCUCCCAAAGCGUAACGGAGGAGCACGAAGGUUAGCUAAUCCUGGUCGGACAUCAGGAGGUUAGUGCAAUGGCAUAAGCUAGCUUGACUGCGAGCGUGACGGCGCGAGCAGGUGCGAAAGCAGGUCAUAGUGAUCCGGUGGUUCUGAAUGGAAGGGCCAUCGCUCAACGGAUAAAAGGUACUCCGGGGAUAACAGGCUGAUACCGCCCAAGAGUUCAUAUCGACGGCGGUGUUUGGCACCUCGAUGUCGGCUCAUCACAUCCUGGGGCUGAAGUAGGUCCCAAGGGUAUGGCUGUUCGCCAUUUAAAGUGGUACGCGAGCUGGGUUUAGAACGUCGUGAGACAGUUCGGUCCCUAUCUGCCGUGGGCGCUGGAGAAUUGAGGGGGGCUGCUCCUAGUACGAGAGGACCGGAGUGGACGCAUCACUGGUGUUCGGGUUGUCAUGCCAAUGGCACUGCCCGGUAGCUAAAUGCGGAAGAGAUAAGUGCUGAAAGCAUCUAAGCACGAAACUUGCCCCGAGAUGAGUUCUCCCUGAGACUUUAAGUCUCCUGAAGGAACGUUGAAGACGACGACGUUGAUAGGCCGGGUGUGUAAGCGCAGCGAUGCGUUGAGCUAACCGGUACUAAUGAACCGUGAGGCUUAACCUU
rnacentral:rRNA from 1 species